rnacentral:lncRNA from 1 species
AAAUUUGUGCACUUCUUAAUAUUUUAGUUAGAAUUAAGUAUAAGAAAGAUGAAAUUGAUAGUACUUACCAAUUAAAAGAAAUGCAAGAUAAUCCAAUUAGGUGUUGAGAGGCUUCUUACUCCAAUCUAAAUGCUAAACUUCUAACAUCAAUGCCUCGUUUUUGAAUUAUUGAAUUACUUUCAAAUUUCAUUUAAAUAUUGAAAAUUGAUUCUAGUAUCCAUAUAAAAAAUUUUCACUUCAAUCUAAUUCACAAAUUGCUGAAGAUCUUAGAAAUACUUAAUCCUUCAAACUCCAAUUUUUGAAAUCUCAAUCUAAAAAAACCUUCACACGCUUUGAUCUAACUAUU